GAUAAACGCUGGCGGCGUGCCUAACACAUGCAAGUCGAACGCGCUCAGCAAUGAGCGCGUGGCGGACGGGUGAGUAGCACGUGGGCAAUCUACCUUUCGGUGAGGAAUACCGGCGAGAAAUCGCCGACAAUACCGCAUAUCCUUGGCAGCAAGGAAAGUCGCAAGACGCCGGAGGAGGAGCCUGCGCCCGAUUAGCUAGUUGGUGGGGUAAAGACCUACCAAGGCGACGAUCGGUAGCUGGUCUGAGAGGAUGAUCAGCCACACUGGGA
rnacentral:rRNA from 1 species